CAGAGUAGAGAUUCGUGCGUGAAGUGUUCCGCGAACGGGGAGUUGUCGCGGAGACGAAGGGGAGCAGCCCUGCGGUGCGUGUCUCGCAUCCCGCUGU
rnacentral:ncRNA from 1 species